GCGAGAAAUAUUAGAUCGGACCUGACUCUAUGAAUUAAUUAAAUGGCUGCAGUAAACUGACUGUACUAAGGUAGCAUAAUCAUUAGUUUUUUAAUUGAAGACUGGAAUGAAGGGUAUUUACUUUGAAGGAAGUUUUAUGGAAAGAUAUUGAAUUUUAGUUAAAAGUAAAAAUGUUUUUAUGGUGUUUCGGGACGAGAAGACCCUAGAAGCUUAAAAUUGAAAAAUUUUUGGUUGGGGUGAUCAAAUGAAGAUAAUAAUCUUUUUUAAUAUAAUUAAAUUUUAAUGAAGUUACUCUAGGGAUAACAGCGUAAUUUAAUUAGAGAGUUCUUAUUGAUAAUUGGAGUUUGCGACCUCGAUGUUGCAAUUAAAUGUAGGUUGGAUGAAGGAGUUCAAUUGUAAAGUCUGUUCGACUUUUAC
rnacentral:rRNA from 1 species